CACUGGUCGAGAUCUGGCGCCGCUUUCCUGAUGAGUCCAAGGCAGGACGUCAGGACGACACCAGUG
rnacentral:sRNA from 1 species